CUUUUACUGACCUUACCUGUGACUGUCAUCAUAAAGAAUCAAAAGGGAAAGAAUCAUUAACGAAAACAAUAAACAGGUGUUUCAUGAGAAUGUUUACAGUACAACUACUUUUUGUAUCCAAGCAUAUCUAAUCGACCGAAAGUCCCAUUUUAAUCAAAUCAGCUCAAACUCAAAGAAGCCUAGAUUUAUCACAAGAUUAUACAAUUAUGCAAGUAAAGGGAUAAUAUUAUAGUGGCUUAGAAGAUGACUGUCAUCAUCUCACUAUACAAAAAGAAAACUCGAAUGAACCAUGAAGGCUACCAAUUAAGGAAACUAAUCGACAAUGUAUGGAGGAAUCUAAAAGUAAAUUGGCUAGCGAGAUUCGGUUCCAAAUUGAGAAUAACACAAUCGCGAUUUACUACGAUAAACGAAAACCAAAACCGAGAAAUCAAGGAGAUAAUAGAGAUAAUUGCACGAAUACAGAUCACACAGAGAUACAGAAUCAAUUAAUAACGACAAUAAUAAUCAUCAAACUCGUCCAAAUAGCAUUGGAGAUAUUAUGUCGGCAAGUGCAGCAAUCAAACAACAGAUCAUCCAAAUUGAAGAAGAAAUCAAAUCAAUAGCCAAAAAUAUCAAUCCUGAGAAAAUUUCCCGAUAAACAAAUGGAUCGCAACAAUAUCUACCAGCAGAGGAAACCUAAACCUUUUCCGCAUAAAACAAAAUUAUACACAAAAAAAAAGUAGAGCAUACCGCCAUGGAUGUUGAUCUUCG